AUGAAGGAUGAGUGUACAGAGCGCGCU
rnacentral:piRNA from 1 species